AGUGAACGCUGGCGGUAGGCCUAACACAUGCAAGUCGAACGGCAGCACAGGAGAGCUUGCUCUCUGGGUGGCGAGUGGCGGACGGGUGAGGAAUACAUCGGAAUCUACUCUGUCGUGGGGGAUAACGUAGGGAAACUUACGCUAAUACCGCAUACGACCUACGGGUGAAAGCAGGGGAUCUUCGGACCUUGCGCGAUUGAAUGAGCCGAUGUCGGAUUAGCUAGUUGGCGGGGUAAAGGCCCACCAAGGCGACGAUCCGUAGCUGGUCUGAGAGGAGGAUCAGCCACACUGGAACUGAGACACGGUCCAGACUACUACGGGAGGCAGCAGUGGGGAAUAUUGGACAAUGGGCGCAAGCCUGAUCCAGCCAUACCGCGUGGGUGAAGAAGGCCUUCGGGUUGUAAAGCCCUUUUGUUGGGAAAGAAAUCCAGCUGGCUAAUACCCGGUUGGGAUGACGGUACCCAAAGAAUAAGCACCGGCUAACUUCGUGCCAGCAGCCGCGGUAA
rnacentral:rRNA from 1 species